rnacentral:lncRNA from 1 species
GACACAUUCUCCAGCAACGCGGUGCGGUACCGGGCUGAGUCCAAGCGCCAGGAGCCGCGGGGUCCUGGUUGCUGUUUUCCUGUGACGCUUGGCGGCGGCGGCCAGAGCGGCCCCAGCACCGUGCCCUGGGCUCACUGCGGCUCUCCUAUCACCCAGGGGUCGUCCCGGUCCGCCCGCACUCUUCUCUCCGCCCGACCCCCCUCUGGCUGCGCGUCCUCGGCUGGCUCGGGGAGGGCGCCGCUCCUCCCUGGGAGACCCCAGGGAGACCCGCCUCACGGCCUGCGCACCUCCUCUCGCUCUAAAGCGGCCGCUGGAGGAGCCACAGGUCUGGCGGGUCCAUGUCGAGGUGCCCUGGGCUCCCGCACGACCCCACGGCCUCCUGCGUCCCGCACCUCUUGUGUCCUGCAGCCGCCCGCGUCCUCUCUGGGACCCCUUCCUUCCGAGUCCGUCCACAUCCCCGGCGGUUCCUCUGAAAUCCGCACCCCCCAACCCCGGAACCUCGGCUCUUCCGCGCGCUCCUCGUCCCCGCAUCCUCAGCCCCUAGAUGUCCUCCGCGUUCUGUAUCCCCCUGCACCACACCGCUCCCUCUCUCCCUGCCCUUCGCACUAGGACCCUCAGGGACCAAAAUCGUCCAAGAUGCCUUCCCUGGUGUCGAGUUUAUGUUAAGGGGUUGGGUGAGGAGACCAAAAAGCAGUGGAUGUGGUAACCACAGGGGCGCCGUGUGUCCGAGUCGGGCGCCUGUCGGAGGAAGCGAGACGGGAGGAGAGGCUGCGGCUCGCGCCCUGGGCAGCGACAGUGUGGACGCCAUUGCAAUUUCCCAACGGCUGCCACCCGCAGGGUCAACACACAGGCCCCCUCCACCCCUCCCAGUCGCCCACCUCCCAUCCCUGCAGAAGCCACCUUAGAGCCGGUGUCUGGGCCGUAAGGAGCCCGGGUGGGGGUCAGGCGGGUGGGCGGAGCGGGACUGAGGCUGCGGGGCGGAACCGCACUCCUGGCUGCCAGCACUGCCUGGGUCCUGGGGAGGCUGCUGGGCCGCCGCUGAGUCCGCGCGCGCCCUCUCCCGGCCGUCAGGAGCAUCGGCCAGAACGUCUCCAGAUUCCGGCCCUGAACCCGGAUGAGGCCCUGCCCAGCGCUCGGUGCUGUCCAAGGAAAAUGAGACCUCGAGGUGAAAAGCGCAGAGGCUGUGCACGCUAGGGCCAAGCGGAGGACGCGUUAUUACUGUUUUCUUCUUGAUGAUAAAACCAGGUGUUGACAAAUGCCGGAGAGAUCGGCAUUCGCAGGACGUGGGUUGAAUGUAACUUGCAUUCUUCCAGUUCGGCAAUCUCACUUCUAGAACUCUGUCCUAGGAACAUACGAGGCUAUUUCAGGAUUGCUUACAACCUGGAGGCAACCGGGAUGUGUCUGGCCACUGGAGCUAGUGGAUUUCACGCAUCCCUGCAGUGGGCAUCAAGCAGCAAAAAGAAUGUUGUGCAGCAUUCAUAAGAAGGAAGACAUUUGUAACACAUUAUGAAAAAACAUAUGUGGGCCAGGCACGGUGGCUCAUGCCUGUAAUCCCAGUACUUUAGGAGGCCGAGGCGGGAGGAUGACUUGAGGUGAGGAGUUCAAGACCAGCCUGGCCAACAUGGCGAAACCCCGUCUCUACUUAAAAAUACAAAAAUUAGCCAGGCACGCUAGCGCGCGCCUGUAUUCCCACCUACUCGGGAGGCUGAGUCAGGAGAAUCACUUGAACCCGGGAGGCGGAGGUUGCAGUGAGCCGAGAUCUCCCCACUGCACUCCAGCCUGGACGGCAGAGCGAGACUCUGUCUCAACAACAAAUGUGUGGCAUCACCUUGAUUUUCUGAAAAUAAAAAAAUUUUAAAAAUA